AUUAAAGGUAAUCUUAUACCUUUAUGAGAAAAUAAAGUAUUUUAAGAGGACAAGAGAAUAUAUGGCUAUCCACGGGUUUCUUUCAUGGCUGUGAGUUAUGUACAGAUAACUUGCUGUGCUCACCGUUUUCCCAAAUACGAUGAGACCUCUGGGGAAAGUCUGGCUGGCACUCUACCAUUAGGGAGUUUUAUGUCUCGCGGUGUCUUAGUCUGCUCAGGGCGCUCUAGCAAAAUGCCACAGAACAACAGAAACUUAGUUCUCUCAGUUCAGGAGACUGAAAGCCCAAGGGCAGUUUCAGAUCAGGUGGCAGACCUCGUUCCCAUAGGGCAGAAGGGCCAGGGAGCUUUGAGGGGUCUCUUAUAAGGGCACAGAUUCCCCCCCCCAGCAGGUCUCCACUCUGGUGUCCUCCCAGACACCCACCUCCUAACCCUGAGAAUUACAGUCUCAACAAUGAAGGGGGGGGUCACAUUCCAUCCCGUCUGUUCUAAGUUCCACACUCAGGAUUUUGUAGUACCCAACCACAGGCCAAACUUUUCUCCACAAAAGCCAGUGACAAUGUCUUUCCUUCAGGGGGCUGGAACCAUCCUUCCACAUCAGAGUCUGAGAUUCUGUAUUCUUGAUCUACUGUCUUGGGGCCAGAGUUGACAUUUUCACGUGCAGUGCAACCACUCACUCUUCUGACUCCCGACGCCAUCCCGGGCACAAUGCUAAACCAUGCUACCAGCCAGCUAACGGUAGCAGCUGACGAAAGAGAAAACACUGACUUGACUAAGUUUGGAGUCUCUCUCCUCCACAACUUUCACCAGAAUCCAGUAGUUCCUGGGGCUCUGCAGGUGUCAGCCGCCUUCCUCAGAAGAAAGCUCCUGAAUGUUGACUAAGUGAAAUUUCUCCCUUUGUUGCCCUGCGUGUGCCUCACACUGUUUUGUUCUUUUGGCCCAGAAACAGAAAAGAUAGUGCUAGAGGCAGGAAAUGGGUUGCCCUCCUGGAAAUUCAAUGACCAGCUCUUCCCCUGUGACGUGUGUGGGAAAGUGUUUGGCCGCCAGCAGACCUUGUCGCGGCACCUGUCGCUGCACACAGAGGAAAGAAAAUACAAAUGCCACUUGUGCCCCUAUGCUGCUAAGUGCCGUGCUAACCUGAACCAGCACCUGACCGUCCACUCGGUGAAGCUGGUGAGUACGGACACCGAGGACAUCGUCAGCGCCGUCACCUCCGAAGGCAGUGACGGGAAGAAGCACCCGUAUUACUACAGCUGCCACGUGUGCGGAUUUGAGACCGAGCUCAAUGUCCAGUUUGUCAGCCACAUGUCGCUCCAUGUGGACAAGGAGCAGUGGAUGUUCUCCAUCUGUUGCACCGCCUGCGACUUCGUCACCAUGGAGGAAGCGGAGAUCAAGGCUCACAUCGGCACCAAACACACAGGUGACCAUCCCUCGGCCCCCUCACCCUUCUGCGCUCCGGCCCCGGGCACCCAGGUGCCACCCACCUGGCAGGAGC